CUGCCAGCUGCCGCCAUGACAAGCACUAUGUGAAGACUCUGGUUGAGCAGUUCUACAAUGACUAUCUACAUGCUGGUGUGGCAGAGAGCCUGGUGGUUGCUCAGCCAACAAAGCUGGAUUCUUCAUCAGUCUGAAUCUGACACUGUAAGCCUAGAAGAUGCCUGGGGAGUUGCUGCUAUUCACUGCAGAUGAGAAAGCAAAAGAAUCUGGAGUCCUGGCUCAGUAGAGGUCGGUCAGUGCCUUGCUCAGCCAUCAUUGAAGAAGCUUGUGAUUGCAGCAGCUAGGAACAAUUAGAGACCCAUCGUCAGACAAAAGACUGUGGAACACUUAGUCCUAAAUGGUAUGUCUCCAUCAAAUCUCUCCUCUCGGGGUUCAGGGAACUCCAUGGAAGAAGAGAGAAAGAGUGUAAGAGCCAGAGAUGAUGCAAGAUACCACGGAAUUAAGGCCUUCUAGAUACAGCAAGGCCAGUGUACAUCAUUGCAGGCCGGAGAACUGUGCAGUCAUUUGUAAGGUCAACCCAUCAGAAUCCUUGAUUGUCAUGGAGGAUUAAAUCAAGAACGCAGGGUGUGUUGGAGUUAUUGCCUUUUGAAUGAAUUGCCUGUUUUCUGCUGUAGAUUUCGUGUGUGAAACCAUAAGCUCUCCCCUCUUUGAGUGGGACCCACCCCAGAAAAGACCCAACAGUGUAUAGAUUAUUGGGCACAAUUUCUUCCAUGUGCUGGUAUGUUGGGUGACUCCUCCGCCCCCAUUCGUGGGAUCUCCGGUGAGAGAAUUUAGUCAUGUGGUCAAUAACCUGGGUUCCCACAGCCUAAUCACCACUCCGUUCUCUGAGACAAACGUUAGAAGCCAACAAGCUUCCUGCAGUUAUCUUCCAUUUGACAGGACAUGUAGUCAGGAAAGGAGUCUUUCAAAUAGAUCACAUUAGGGAGAUUAAGGAAUGUCCAAAACCUUUGGUUCUGGUUCCUCCUGAUUAAGGAGAGUGAAUGCUCUAAAUUUUCCCUCAGCGAACUUGGGAAAGUGCUAACCUCCGCUGACCCCCAGCUCUAAUCCUAAAAAGCUAUUAAUCGCCUACAUCUACUCUCAUUUGGUUUAUUGGAUAUAGAAACUUAACCUAGGAAAUUUACUGCCCGUGUCUUAACCCUGAGGGAUAAUAGAAAAAGCCAGUGAAUGAAGAUCUUCACAUGCAAAACUCUUUUGAGAAAGAGAUUCAUUUGGGAAG